UGGCAUGUCUGAAGUUAUUUUCCUUAAGUCCUUUACACUUGAUAUUUGAACAUGUUUCUACAAACUACAAAGCAAUUGCUGAUCCAUAAUGCUGAUCAGAGGUAGUAAUUUCAAAGUCAUGCACAAGUCCAGCAGCACACCUCUCCUCAUUGGCUCCUCCACCACCUAUGUCGAAAGAUUAUCAUCAAUGCUCUGCAGGAACCUCCUGGACUGUUUGUGCCUAGCUGUGUUGUCUUUCCAGCAGAUAUCAAGAUGCUACGCAGCCUGCUGACUUCCUUCCGUAACUCCUUUACCUGACGACACAACUCGUCAACAACAGCACACCUUCUGCAGGAGAGCUGACUGUCAGCCCAGGCCUCAUGGAUAGGCCCCAAACACUCUCUGCAGCCUGAGACCUGUAGAGCUGCAUCUGCUGUCAGAGGGUCUGCCUGGGUUGAAGCCUCUGCCACAGCUGAGGCAGCAACUCCAAAGGCUACUGGGGAAUGUCUCCGCAGCAUGACAUGACCAUGUCUAAGGAAGCGUACGCUACUAGGACUGGAAACAAAGGUACCUUCUAGCACCCUUCUGCGCAAACUGCUGCCUUUGCUCACUGCUGUUAGCUGUGCUCUAGGCCAGGCUCUUACACAGGCCUCUCCCUGGCACUGACUCACAGGGUGCUUGACCCACCGUAAUCAAAGGCCACUUGGAUCAAAGGCCCCAACUCCCUCUGAUCAGAGCCAACCAAGAGAGCUCCUUAGCGGUAGCUACACCUAGCUAGAGCUUCUCCCAGGAUAAGUUAAGGCCUCCUGUAGUUGUCCUUGCCUAGCUCCCCUUUCCUGUUAGCAGCAAUUACCCUCUAGUUCCUUGGGGGCCCCAGAAAGCCCCCACAACUUCCAACAAGGUGCCCAAAAGUUCUAAGCAGAGUCCAGACGCUGCUGCGCAAACUGCUGCAUCUGUUCUCUGCCUCUGUUAUCUGCACUCUUUAACAUUUUUAUCAUGGAUAUUUUAAAGGAAAAACUGUGAGGUCUUUAAAAGCUUCUGGGAUGUUAAACAUCUAAUUUUUAUUCAGGUGAAACUCUUGAAAAAAAUAGGCAUUUUCACUGUCUUUCAAUAAUACCUAUUUCACAAAUGUAAAACUACAUUUGUGGGAUACAUCUCCAGAAAAUUAUGUGAGUCGGGGAAGCACGAAACAGCAGUCUGAGCCCUCUCCACAAUUACUGCAGGCAAAACUUGAUUGCUGAUGAAUUAUGCUUUGUGAUUAAGUAAACUGAGAACUCCUAGUAGUCCAGCUAUGAGCUUGUAGAGGUUUCCUCACUGCAAGCUAUCAUGAACUGUGUGGGUAUUGCAUAUUUUUUAUCCUCUGAACUGGAUUUUCAUUUUAGCUUCAAACAAAAAUACAUACAAUUGAAACUGAGGUUCAGAAGAUCUAUCUGGGUUCUCCAAUAGAAAUUCUGUGCCAGGAAUUGUAUUUAUACCAAUUAGCUCCAGCAGCCUCUGCCAAACAGAACUACUCUUAUUUGUUACAGUAUUUUAAUGAAAUGCGAGCAUUUAAAAUAAGAUUUUGAGGGUCAUGCAGAGUUGAACUGAAACAUUUAUCUGCAUUUACAUCUUCUGGCACUCAUCUUGCAUUUCUGUGUUCUCUAAACUCCUCUGAAAAUCAAUGGUGACUUUGUGUUCACAGAAACCAAACAGCUGGAACCACAGUUAAAGGACACUGUCCCAGAAGUCUUAGAAAGCCAAUUAUUACUAGUGAAAUGUUAAUCUGUUGCCAGUAAUCUCAACACCAUCCCAUCUGUAUAAAACUGGAUUCACAUUAAAGAAACAGAAAUCACCAUUUGGUCUGACCAGUACUGUAUGAAGGUGAAAUCCUCAUGUGUGUAGAGUAAAACUGGUAAAAUAAACCUCCAAAUCCUCUCAUUUUUUCUUCCAAUAUGAUGUAAACUGGGCUGGUACUAGAGAGCCAAAGAGUGUAUAUUUUUUUAAUGUUGAACUCUCUCUGAUUUAUGCAGUAUCUGAGGGGGGAAAAAAAGGAAUAAAACAAUUCCACUUUUCAUUUCACUUUAUUGUUAUUUAGCUAGUGAAAACUGAAACAAUUCUGUCAUUUUCCUGACAAUGUAAUGACAUAUGACAUACAAAGGAAAAGAAAUAAUUAUUAUGGACUUUAUAUAUCAAAAAAGAUGAAAAUCCAACCAAGACAUAAAUGUUGCAGUAGAAAUAACAUUCCCAGCUAGGAAAGAUUUUCAUUCUUAGUGUCAACAUUCCUUAAAAUUACUUUUCUCCUAAUGAUGAUUAACAGACCCAACUUACACAGCUAGAGUGAAGUUCUAAUUUCACACUUGUAGCUUCAGAUCAGAAAGUACUGCACAUAUAUCAAAAUUAAGUGUUAAAAUAUUUGUCAGCAUUUCUGUUUCAAAGAACUAUGGUUUGUCUAAAGCUCUGCUUCUCAUUUCUGUAAAACCACUUGAUCAUAAAAACUAAAUAUUGGCAAGAUGCCAUUCCUGCUUCACUGUGAUCUUUUUAUAUGCUUCUUUUUACAUAUUUCUCUGCCUAUCUAUAUGUGCUUUGGGGUUUUUAUUAAAAUGUAAUCUUUUUGAA